GUUCAAUGUUUGCUCUGAGAAGUUGAAUGAACAAAAUUAUUAAAUGUGUUCAUUCUUAGUCGUCAUUGAAGUACAACUUGGUAAACUACAAAACACAUCAAAUUCAGUUAUAAAAAUUUGAGUUACAAAGGUAUACUAAUUAUUGUAUUGCCUGAAAGAGUGUCAUUGCUAUUAAAAGCAGUAAAGAAUUCAAGUACUCUGGAAGAAAAGAAAAUACGUCAAUUAUUUGGCACAAAUCGGAAUUAAAGACAAAGGAGAUUGUAUAUUUUAUUUGCUAAGAAUAGUUUUUUAAAAUGGCCUAGUUGUAAAAUUAAACUAUGCAGGGAGAGGACAAAAAAUUGGAAUAGAAAAAA